CCUCUGGAGAAUCCCAGGCAAGCUGGGUGCCGAAGGGGCAAGGCGAAACACCUGUUCACAGGCUUUUCGUUGAAACUCUCAGGCAAAAGGACAUAGA
rnacentral:ncRNA from 1 species